rnacentral:lncRNA from 1 species
AUCCCUUGAGAGCACAAAACGCAGACUAAGGGCACGAAACUCGAAAAGAGAUCGUUAAACAAGAAACCUUAACACACUAGUGAUCCCAUAAAUCAGGAUAGUCGUCCAUCUCAUCUGACCAACGUCUAUGAACUAUAUUAUUCAUUGCACUCAUGCUAUCACUAUUGCUACAAUCAACCACAAAGUUCCUCGGCUUGUAGCCCAUUUCCCCCGCAUUCCUGAGGCGACCUUUUAUGCUACCUUCCGGAACCGCUUGCAUCGGUUCCCUUUCCAUGCCCUUUCCCGUGCCCUUUGGGCGGCCACGUCCCCGCUUGGUCGUCUUGUCCGAGAGUAAUUGCAUCCCCUGACUAACCUGCUCCUCUAACCGAUUAAUGCGACUAGCAAUAUUGUCCGGGCCAAGAGCGGACAAAUCCUUGUUACCUUCAUGCGGAGCACCCC